AGCGUGGUUGUGGCCCAGCGCUGUGUGGAAGACUAGUGAUUUUGUUGUUCUGAUGUAGUAUGACAACAAGUCACAGCCAGCCUCAUGGCAUGGGCUCCU
ensembl:miRNA MIR7-3 microRNA 7-3